UGAUGUAUAAAUGGCCCUUCUGGCAGUGAUUGACUAAAUAUGGCCCUCUCGGCAUGUUUGUAUGAACAUGGACCUCUCGGCAUUUUGUAUAAAUAUGGCCCUCACGGCAUGUUUGUAUGAAUAUGGCCCUCUUGGCAUUUGUAUGAAUAUGGCCCUCACGGCGUGUUUGUAUGAAUAUGGCCCUCUCGGCAUUUUGUAUGAAUAUGGCCCUCUAGGAAGUUUGUAUGAAUAUGGCCCUCACGGCAUGUAUGUAUGAAUAUGGCCCUCUUGGCAACAAGAAAAAAUAUGCAAUGGCCCUCAUGGCAAUAAGAAAAAAAAAAUGCAAUGGCCCUCAUGGCAAUUAAGAAAAUAUGAUGGCCCUCACGGG